UCUGUCUCUUCUCUUCACUUCACUUUUCUUCUUCCUUCUCUUCUCACACUAACAACCAUUUCUCUGUUCUUCUCUUUCUUCAUUCUCAGAUAUCUAUGGCCGCCGGUAAAGCAAAGCGUCCUAUUAUCAUCGGAAUCGACCUCGGCACCACCUACUCCUGCGUCGGAGUGUGGCAGCACGACGCCGUCCAAAUCAUCGCCAACGACCAGGGCAACCGUACCACCCCUUCUUACGUCGCUUUCACUCAUUCCGAACGCUUAAUCGGUGAUGCCGCCAAGAGCCAGGUCACCAGAAACCCCACCAAUACUGUCUUCGAUGCUAAGCGUUUGAUUGGAAGGAGUUUCUCUGAUGAUUCAGUUCAGAGUGACAUCAAGCUAUGGCCAUUCGAGGUUAUUGCUGGUUCAGCCGACAAGCCUAUGAUUGUUGUUAGCUACAAGAAUGAGGAGAAGAAGUUCACAGCUGAGGAGAUUUCCUCCAUGGUCCUUAGCAAGAUGCGUGAGAUUGCUGAGGCUUAUCUUGGUUUUGCUGUGAAGAAUGCUGUUGUUACUGUCCCGGCGUAUUUUAAUGACUCCCAGCGCCGGGCCACCAAGGAUGCUGGUGUCAUUGCAGGCCUCAAUGUCAUGCGUAUACUUAAUGAACCUACAGCGGCUGCCAUUGCGUAUGGCCUUGACAAGAGUGACACCGGUGAUGAUGAGAUCAAUGUGUUGAUUUUUGACCUUGGUGGUGGUACUUUUGAUGUCUCUCUUUUAACCAUUGAAGAUGGUGUCUUUGAAGUUAAUUCCACUGCGGGUGACUCGCAUCUUGGAGGUGAGGACUUUGAUAACAGGAUGGUGAACAAUUUUGUUGAGGAGUUCAAGAGGAAGCACGAGAAGGACAUUAGUGGGAACCCGAGGGCUUUAAGAAGGUUGAGGACCGCAUGUGAAAGGGCAAAGAGGACUCUCUCAUCCACUGUACAGACCACCAUUGAGAUUGACUCGUUGUAUGAAGGUGUUGACUUAUACACUGAUAUCACUCGUGAAAAGUUUGAAGAGCUCAACAUGGACCUCUUCACGAAGUGCAUGGAGCCAGUUGACAAGUGUUUGAAGGAUGCUAGGAUGGACAAGAGCAGUGUCCAUGAUGUUGUUCUUGUUGGUGGGUCUACUAGGAUCCCAAAAGUGCAGCAGCUGUUGCAGGAUUUCUUCAACGGGAAGGAGCUCUGCAAGAGCAUCAACCCAGAUGAGGCUGUUGCUUAUGGAGCUGCUAUUCAGGCUGCUAUCUUGAGUCAUGAGAGUCAUGAGAAGGUUAAGGAUCUUGUGUUGGUGGAUGUCAUUCCCCUUUCACUUGGUGUGGAAACUGCUGGUGGUGUCAUGACUGUCCUGAUUCCAAGGAACUGUCCAAUCCCAUUCAAGAAGGAGCAGGUUUUCUCAACCAACUCAGACAACCAGCCUGGUGUGUUGAUCAAGGUGUACGAGGGUGAGAGAACAAGGAGCAGCGACAACAACUUGUUAGGUAAAUUUGAGCUUUGUGGCAUUCUUCCUGCUCCAAGGGGUGUUCCUCAGAUCAAUGUUUGCUUUGUCAUUGAUGAGAAUGGUAUCCUGAAGGUCUCUGCUGAAGAUGAGACUACUGGUGAGAAAAACAAUAUCACUAUUACAAAUGACGAGGGGAGACUCUCGAAAGAGGAGAUUGAGAAGAUGGUGCAGGAGGCGGAGAAGUACAAGGUCGAGGAUGAGGAGCACAAGAAGAAGGUCGAUGCCAAAAAAGCCUUGGAGAAGAUGGUGCAGGAGGGGGAGAAGUACAAUUCUUCAAAAGAUAGUCCAUAUCAACACUUGGAGGCACAAGUACAACAUGAUACUUGCCAUGAUCAGAUUGCAUUACCAACUCCUAGUUCAAGUUUACAAUCCUUUCCUUCCGGAAACUUUGGGUAUUAUUUCAACUCCACAAAAGUGGCUUCACAGAAAAUUAUAAAGGGACUAAAAGAUGAUAAUUGCUAUGUACUUGGAUUGUAUGGAAAGAGAGGCUCUGGUAAAACAGCAUUACUGAAAGCUGAGAUAGAAGAGUAUGAAAAGAUUUUUCGUAGAGUGGUAUUUCUCACCGUGUCUGAGAAUCAAGAUAUCAAGAGCAUUCGAGUGGGAAUUGCUAGCUCCUUGAACGUGUUUGAAAAAGAUGACAAUGAUGGUGCGAGAAUAAUGAAAAUAAUUUUGGCAUUAGAAAGGAAGGAUCGAACUACUCUUGUUAUCUUGGAUAAUUUUCCGUCGAAGUCUAAACUGCAAGAAUUAGGUGUUCCUUAUAAUAGUAAACAGUACAAGUUCCUUUUGACUGCACGUAAUGAGACAGACUGCAUCUUGAUGGGAUGUGAUCAUUUGAUUCCUCUCGAGCCCUUAUCUAAUGAGGAAGCUUUUUCCCUGCUACAAAAACUUUCAGGCGUUGACUCCCAGAUUGAUCUAUUUAAAGUGGUACAGGAUGUUGCUUUUAAAUGCAAUGGCUUACCGGGUUUAAUUAAAGACGUGGCGUUUUCCUUGAAAAAUAAGUCUAUUGAGAAGUGGCAAGAAUCAUUAGUCAGUCUAAGCCACUCAACAGCCCGCUACCAAAUUUUUAUCAGUUUUAGAGGAAAGGAUACUCGGGAGACUUUCACAAAUCAUCUCUAUGAUGCUUUAUGCAAAGAGGGAUUUGAGACCUUCAAAGAUAAUGAAGCAUUGGAGGGUGGAGCCCCAAUUGAGAAACUUCUUGAAGCCAUUGAAGAAUCAAGGUUUGCAAUUGUUGUUUUGUCGGAAAACUUUGCAGACUCUAAAUGGUGUCUUAAAGAACUAGUCAAGAUUCUUGACUGCCGGAAGAGGAAGAAACAAUUGGUUUUGCCAAUUUUUGUUGAAGUGGAACCAACCGACAUAAGGCAUCUAAAAGGGAGGUAUGGUGAAGCUAUGGCUGAACAUGAAAAAAAGUUAGCAAAAGAUUCUAAGACAGUACUGGAAUGGACACUGGCUUUGAGUGAUAUUUCCCAAUUGAAAGGGGAACAUUUCUACAUUUCUAACUUCAAACGAGAGCAUUACGAAAGGGACAGAGAUCAAUUUAUUGGAAAGAUCAUAAGAUUUGCCCAUAAUAACAAACACCGCUUGCAUAUACAAAGCAUGUACAUGAACUAGAUGAAAGACUUCAGCUUCUCUUCAAGCGAGUGCAACAUAAGGCAGAGCUUGCUGCACAUGGUUUUUAGCUUGUUGUAGGUUUCCAUUGCAAGUCUCUUCUUCCUACUCGCUAACCAUUGAAGAUAACUGCAAGGUUUUGUUGCAACUCUCCUCUCUAUGGUGUACAUUGUAGGUUUUAGUUAUCUUUCAUUUGAUGACUGUAUUAUGUUAUUGUGUACGAUUCCCCAUUCCUUAAUUCAUUGUGAUUUUUCAAUUUUGGAUGCCCUUGGUUGCAUCUUCCAUGUUUGAUAAUAGGAGACAGAACAUUAAAUCAGUUCUGGAUGGAUGAAGAUUGUGAGUAUCUCUUCCCUUAUUUUCUUCCAAUCAUAUCUGUUAACUGUUUACCACAUCUGUGAAUAAUUCUCUCAUUUCUACAUGAUUAUUAUUUAUUUUGACAACCAGCUUAAUCUUAAGUCACUAUGCUGUUGAGUUUUGGCUGUAAUUGGUUAAUUAUAGAAGCUUCUCCCUGUAAUUGAAAUGAGUUUGGCCAAAAGACAGGCAAAGAAAGUAACCUGAUUAAUACGCUGAUAAGCAGAAGAUGGAUUUUUACAUCUUGGAAUUGUUGACUCAGCCUCACCAUUUGGUUACCUUUCUGGGAUACAUACAUAAUAAUAUUGGCACAAGGCCAGUUCCUAAACGAAUUACUUGUUCUCCCAACAGACUUCAUCUUCAGUCAAAGAUGUGAUAAUUUAUAUCCUUGGACAGUGUUAGCACUCAGCUUUCUGAAGAGGAUAGGAGGUUGUUAUCGGAAGUAGCUACAAGAAGGACUCCAGGGGUUAGCAAAAGAUGCUAACAUAAUUGACUUUACAACGCUGGGAGGCUGAGUAUCAGCUCAGAGGGUAAACACAUAUUAGACUGCACAGGAUAGGGGGCCCUGUUUGUGGAGGCAAAAGGAAACUGUUCCUUGGAAGAGAUUGUUGACAUCAUAAAGCCAGGGACUCUUAGUAAGCUGGUUUAUGAUAUCUUAGGCUGUACAUGAAUCACUACAUGUUUGAUGGCGUUAGUGUUAUCUGCUAUGUAGUUUGUGAACUCAUGGAGUGAAAUGAGCAUUUCUUACUGUUCAA